rnacentral:rRNA from 1 species
UACGUAGGUGGCAAGCGUUGUCCGGAUUUAUUGGGUUUAAAGGGUGCGUAGGCGGCUCUGUAAGUCAGUGCUGAAAUAUCCCGGCUUAACCGGGAGGGUGGCAUUGAUACUGCGGGGCUAGAGUACAGAUGAGGUAGGCGGAAUUGACGGUGUAGCGGUGAAAUACUUAGAUAUUGUCAAGAACACCUAUAGCGAAGGCAGCUUACUAGGCUGUAACUGACGCUGAGGCACGAAAGUGUGGGGAUCAAACAGG